CAGAUUUGGUGUCAGAAAUUUUAAACAAAUUCGAGUAUCCAGCUUACGAUGGCCCCUUGGGUAGAACGGCUUUGCAUGCUGCAGCAUUUUGGGGUGAUGAAGGAAUGACCAAAAACAUUUUGGAAAGAUACGGAGGUGAUCUAUGUAAACAAGCAGACCAAAAUGGUUGGACUCCGCUUCACAUGGCUGCAUAC